rnacentral:rRNA from 1 species
UACGAAGGGGGCUAGCGUUGCUCGGAAUCACUGGGCGUAAAGCGCACGUGAGGCGGAUCUUUAAGUCAGGGGUGAAAUCCUGGAGCUCAACUCCAGAACUGCCUUUGAUACUGGGGAUCUCAAGUCCGGAAGGAGGUGAGUGGAACUCCGAGUGUAGAGGUGAAAUUCGUAGAUAUUCGGAAGAACACCAGUGGCGAAGGGCGGACUCACUGGUCCGGUACUGACGCUGAGGUGCGAAAGCGUGGGGAGCAAACAGGG